GGAGGAAAGCAGGGGAUCGUAAGACCUUGCGCUUUUGGAGCGGCCGAUGUCUGAUUAGCUAGUUGGUGGGGUAAUGGCCUACCAAAGCUUCGAUCAGUAGCUGGUCUGAGAGGACGGCCAGCCACACUGGGACUGAGACACGGCCCAGACUCCUACGGGAGGCAGCAGUGGGGAAUUUUGGACAAUGGGCGCAAGCCUGAUCCAGCCAUGCCGCGUGAGUGAAGAAGGCCUUCGGGUUGUAAAGCUCUUUCAGCCGGGAAGAAAAGGCUGCGACUAAUAAUCGCAGUUCAUGACGGUACCGGAAGAAGAAGCACCGGCUAACUACGUGCCAGCAGCCGCGGUAAUACGUAGGGUGCGAGCGUUAAUCGGAAUUACUGGGCGUAAAGGGUGCGCAGGCGGUUUUGUAAGUCAGAUGUGAAAUCCCCGGGCUUAACCUGGGAAUUGCGUUUGAAACUACAAAGCUAGA
rnacentral:rRNA from 1 species